rnacentral:rRNA from 1 species
UACGGGGGGAGCAAGCGUUGUUCGGAUUUACUGGGCGUAAAGGGCGCGUAGGCGGCCACCGCAAGUCGGUUGUGAAAUCUCCGGGCUUAACUCGGAACGGCCAAGUGAAACUGUCAAGCUAGAGUGCAGAAGGGGCAAUCGGAAUUCUUGGUGUAGCGGUGAAAUGCGUAGAUAUCAAGAGGAACACCUGAGGUGAAGACGGGUUGCUGGGCUGACACUGACGCUGAGGCGCGAAAGCCAGGGGAGCAAACGGG